rnacentral:rRNA from 1 species
AGCGAACGCUGGCGGCAGGCUUAACACAUGCAAGUCGAACGCCCCGCAAGGGGAGUGGCAAACGGGUGAGUAACACGUGGGAACGUACCCUUUGGUUCGGAAUAACUUGGGGAAACUCAAGCUAAUACCGGAUAAGCCCUUAUGGGGAAAGGUUUACUGCCGAAGGAUCGGCCCGCGUCUGAUUAGCUAGUUGGUGAGGUAAUGGCUCACCAAGGCGACGAUCAGUAGCUGGUCUGAGAGGAUGAUCAGCCACACUGGGUCUGAGACACGGCCCAGACUCCUACGGGAGGCAGCAGUGGGGAAUAUUGGACAAUGGGGGCAACCCUGAUCCAGCCAUGCCGCGUGAGUGAUGAAGGCCUUAGGGUUGUAAAGCUCUUUUACCCGGGACGAUAAUGACUGUACCGGGAGAAUAAGCCCCGGCUAACUUCGUGCCAGCAGCCGCGGUAA